GGAGAAACUGGCAAAAAAAAAAAAAAAGCCUAUAAAUGUGAGCCUGGGAGUAGGUCUGCUGGAGGACACCACCACUGCCUGAUCUGCAUGCUCCUUUAUGGGGUUCAUCCUCGUUCAGGAGAACUCUCCAAGUUUCUUCGGGCAAUCAUGCAUGCAGGGGCUUGGCGUUAUUUCUGGUUAAAGAAGCUUCACGCCUUGUGUCACAAAUCUCACCUUUGAAGAAACGAUGCAUUUAAAGAGACCGUUUACUGAGUGUCAGUACUCUGCGUGACACUUCAUUUCUUCACAAAUCGCCUGAGGAGCAGAGGGCCUGGAGGAUGUUUGACCGAGUGCUGCUGAGCACUCACAUUGUGCACAGAGAUGUAUCACCAGGGCCCUCGGUGGUGAAACCCAUAGGAUUUUAAUCUAUGGGGUCCAGUAUUUCCCCACGCCAGCAGGAUGGCAGUGUUUUAUGGGGGCCGCUUCAACACCUUGGUUGUGUUCAACACAACCACUCUGUGCUCCAACACCUUCAACAGCCUUGAUGUGGCUCCAAGGCUGUCCCCAUUCCUGAGAGAAACCCUACUAACAAAUGGGUCACGGACCAGAACUCUGGUCAAAAUCGUCAGGGAAAACUGCUCUUGGCCACCCUGCACCUCGGGGAGCAGCCGGAGCCACCUGCUCCAUCAGAAAGGGGAGCUGCGGCCCAGCACAGGCCCCACCUCAAACACUGUGUCCAAUUUUGGGCCCUCACCACAAAAUAGACAUUCAGGGGCUGGAGCGGGUCCAGAGAAGGGCAACGGAGCUGGUGAGGGGUCUGGAGAACAAGUCUUGUGAGGAGAGGCUGAGGGAGCUGGGGGUGUUCAGCCUGGAGAAAAGGAGGCUGAGGGGAGACCUUAUUGCUCUCUACAACUCCCUGAAAGGAGGGUGUAGCCAGGGGGGUCGGUCUCUUCUCCCGAGGAACAGGUAAUGGGACAGGAGGAAACGGCCUCAAGUUGUGCCAGGGGAGGUUUAAGAGUGGAUAUUAGGAAAAAAAUUCUUCAUUAAAAAGGUUGUCAAGCAUUGGAACGGGCUGCCCAGGGAAGCGGUGGAGUCGCCAUCCCUGGUGGUGAGUAGACAUGGCGCUGAGGAGACAUGUUUUAGUGGUGGACUUGGCAGUGCUGGGUUAAUGGUCGGGCUCAAUGAUGUUAAAGGUCUUUUCCAACCUGAACGAUUCUGUGAUGAUUCUCUCUCUGCAGAAGCACCACCAAAGAGCCAGACACACCGCCGUGUGGUGGGCACAUCUUCCCUGGCAUUUCACUCCUCCACGCCCUCCCUCCACCCCCAGAGCUUUGCUGGACACAAAGACUUAUCUCCUGGAUUUGCUGUUCCAUUUCCUUCUUCCUCGUGUGCGUGAAGGAAAAGAGGACCAGCCUCA